rnacentral:rRNA from 1 species
CCUACGGGAGGCAGCAGUGGGGAAUAUUGGGCAAUGGAGGAAACUCUGACCCAGCAACGCCGCGUGAAUGAUGAAGGUCUUCGGAUGGUAAAGUUCUUUUCUAAGGGAAGAAGAAAGUGACGGUACCUUAGGAAGAAGCUUCGGUCAACUACGUGCCAGCAGCCGCGGGAAUACGGAGGAGGCGGGCGUUAUGCGGUAUGACUGGGCGCAAGGGGUGUGGAGGUGGUUUGGCAAGUUAGUAGCGUAACUCCAAGGCUCAACCUUGGAACUACUACUAAAACUGUUGGACUUGAGUGCAGGAGGGGCAGCCGGAAUGCCUGGUGUAGCGGUGGAAUGCGUAGAUAUUAGGAGGAACACCAGUGGCGAAGGCGGCUUGCUAGACUGUAACUGACACUGAGGCACGAAAGCGUGGGGAGCAAACAGGAUUAGAUACCCGGGUAGUC